rnacentral:rRNA from 1 species
UUCGGAUUGUAGGCUGCAACUCGCCUACAUGAAGCUGGAAUUGCUAGUAAUCAUAGGUCAGCAUACUAUGGUGAAUACGUUCCCGGGCCUUGUACACACCGCCCGUCACACCAUGAGAGUUGAGAAUACCCGAAGCCUGUGAGCUAACGAAAGAGGCAGCAGUCGAAGGUAGAAUCAAUGAUUGGGGUGAAGUCGUAACAAGGUAGC